UUAGAAAGGGGGUUUGGCGAUCGGGAUUUCCCGGAAAACUGUUUCGUACGGUCUCGGCGUCGCAGUAGCCUACCUAUGCUGCGAAGAGGGACAGUCGUGCAACAUGUUUCGGACCAUGAAAAUGCAUUGUUGUUUCCACAAAGGUGAAGCUUUUAGCAGAUGCCACUCUGAAUUUUCCAGGGUUCAGGUUUUUUCCACAUCAGCAAUGGUUUUUGGGGUGUCUGCAGACAGGAUUAGCGGGAUCCCUUCCUCUUGGAUCAUCACAUCAUCCUCUAUCCGCACCCCAAGUCCUCGAAAUCGUUUUGGGCAGCUUUCAUCAUCUUCACAGAUGUACAGUCCUAUUCAGAUAGAAUAAUCAUUAUGGUAAAAUUGCAGCAAAUUGAAGCGAAUACUGGAAUCAGUGAUACAGCUGACAGUGUAUCCAGUCAUGCACACCUGGCUCAAUAGUGAUGGCCAUGCCAGGCUGAAGAGGCUGAGAGCGGGACAGCUCAGGUGUGUCGUGCACAUCCAUGCCCAGGUAGUGGCCGACGUGAUGGGGACAGAGGCGCCGUGCAAUCUGAGACAAUCAAGACAAUAAAUAUAACAGCAGAUAUAAAAUUGCUUUGUGUACAUCAAUCACCUUAAAUGUCCACAGAUACAGGAUACAUAAUGUCCUCACUAAUGUCAUCAUGUACAUACUUUGACAUGCUUCACGUAUUGCUGUGGUUAAGCUGUAGACCACAUAUGAUUAACUCCUAGGUCAUUGUGAUGCAUAGGCUGUUCAGGAUGUUAAACACACUCUUAAACGUGCUGGUGUGUAGUUAUACAACUAACACUGUUCAAAACUAAUGCUGUAGUAUAUAUAUUAGGCCUACAUUUAUGAUAUUUAGGUAUUCAAAUGUUUGUGCUUGGUGUUUUUACCACCGGUGUGUCUGUGUGCUUGUGCACCGUGCUUUGUCCAGAGACCUGAGAUAUCAGAUCUCCAGAGAUACAUCUUGCACAUUCAAUAUCCACUACACACUGGAUUCAAGGAAUUUUGAAAAAUGGAAAAUGGAUGGCUCAACAAAUCUAAUGGAAGCUAUGGUGUGCAUAUUUUUUAAAAAAAUCAGUAUGAGAAUAUUCAAUAGUGUGGACUGUACUGACAAAAUUGUCAGCUAUCAGUAAUCUUGCCAAUGUAAUCGGCCCCUGUGAGAGUGGUCACCAUGAUACUUACACACCUUCCCCAAUCAGUGUUUUAUUAAUGCUGGUGUAUAUCUAAAUAUAAUAUUAAGCAUGUUAUU